AGUUUUAUAGUUUAAUAAAAAACCUUAAAUUGCAAGUUUAAUACUGAUAAAUAAUAUAUCUAAGACUU
rnacentral:tRNA from 1 species